rnacentral:rRNA from 1 species
UGGGGGAUAUUGCACAAUGGGCGAAAGCCUGAUGCAGCGACGCCGCGUGGGGGAUGGAGGCUUUCGGGUUGUAAACCUCUUUCGCUAUCGAACAAGGCCCGCUUAGGGUGGGUUGAGGGUAGGUGGAGAAGAAGCGCCGGCUAACUACGUGCCAGCAGCCGCGGUAAUACGUAGGGCGCGAGCGUUGUCCGGAAUUAUUGGGCGUAAAGGGCUUGUAGGCGGCUUGUUGCGCCUGCUGUGAAAACGCGGGGCUUAACUUCGCGCGUGCAGUGGGUACGGGCAGGCUUGAGUGUGGUAGGGGUGACUGGAAUUCCAGGUGUAGCUGUGGAAUGCGCAGAUAUCUGGAGGAACACCGAUGGCGAAGGCAGGUCACUGGGCCAUUACUGACGCUGAGGAGCGAAAGCAUGGGUAGCGAACAGG